UGUAAUGCACACUGAAGAUCCCCACCGUAA
rnacentral:piRNA from 1 species